rnacentral:rRNA from 1 species
AGUGAACGCUGGCGGUAGGCCUAACACAUGCAAGUCGAACGGCGGCACAGGAGAGCUUGCUCUCUGGGUGGCGAGUGGCGGACGGGUGAGGAAUACAUCGGAAUCUACUCUGUCGUGGGGGAUAACGUAGGGAAACUUACGCUAAUAUCGCAUACGACCUACGGGUGAAAGCAGGGGACCUUCGGGCCUUGCGCGAUUGAAUGAGCCGAUGUCGGAUUAGCUAGUUGGCGGGGUAAAGGCCCACCAAGGCGACGAUCCGUAGCUGGUCUGAGAGGAUGAUCAGCCACACUGGAACUGAGACACGGUCCAGACUCCUACGGGAGGCAGCAGUGGGGAAUAUUGGACAAUGGGCGCAAGCCUGACCCAGCCAUACCGCGUGGGUGAAGAAGGCCUUCGGGUUGUAAAGCCCUUUUGUUGGGAAAGAGAUCCAGCUGGCUAAUACCCGGUUGGGAUGACGGUACCCAAAGAAUAAGCACCGGCUAACUUCGUGCCAGCCGCCGCCGUAA